AUGCCCAACUCUGAACCCCAUGACUGGUGUCCUUGGAGCUGGCAGAGAUCAUUUUGCUCUGAAGACUACAGACUGGCAGGAGAGCAUCACCUUCUUUCAAGGCUUCGCCUCCUCUGGUGUCGACAGCUUGUGCACCAGCAUGUCAUUGAAGCCACAUUUGCAGAAGAGAGCGCAAUGAGCAGAGCCAGAGCUGAGGGCUGCCUCCCUGCUGCAGGGAUCCUCCUCAGGCCAGGACGGCUUUCAAUCACUCUACCCCUGGACCAGGAAAGCAAGCACCAUGUCUACCCCAGGACAUGGUUCCUUUCAGUUCUGACAUGACUUUUUCUGGAGUCAUUAAAAAUACCAAAUGUGGUUCAAUGCAGCAGUACAGUCAAUGGCAACUGCAUUCCUCUGGUUGCUCAAGGCGAGACCUGGGAACCCUUCUUGACUCCUUCAUUCCCUCACUCCACCCCACAUCCAAUCCAUCAUCCAACCCUGUGAGCACUACUGCAAAAUACCCCUGGAAUCUGACCCCGUCUCACUUCAUCCACAGUGUCCGCUGGGGCUAAGUUAUCCUCAUCUUCCAUCAAAAUACUUCAAUGGUCUCCAACCCGGUCUCCUCCUACUUGCUGCUCUAUCAUCUCAUCUACAGAGAAGCCAGAGUGAUCUUUUCAAAAUAGUAAGUUAUAUCAUGUCACCCCUCAGCUCAAAAAUCCUCCAGUGGUUCCCCUAUCACGCCAAAGAAAAGGCAAAAGACCUAACAAUUGCUGAGGUGACCCUACAUAUUCCAGCUUGUCACCUCUUCAGUCUCAUCCCCUACCUCUCUCCCCUGACUCACUCUGCUUCAGCCAGACUGGCUUCUUGCUGCAUCCCCAAAACAUCGGGUAUGCCUGUGUCUUAAGGCUUACAUAGGUGCUAUUCCCUCAGCCUGCCAUCCCCUUCGUGCCAAUAUCUUCUUCGUUCAUUCCCUUUGUCCAAAAGUAAUGUUAUCAGAGAGAAGUUGCAUAACCAUCCUCAUGAAAAUAUACCUAGUCUAUCUUUAAGGAACUGACUUUGCUUUAUUUUUCAUAGCACUUACCAUUACCUAAACUAUUUAAGCAUUUGUUUACACAUCAAUUUUUUCCCCUCCUAGAAUAAAAGUUCUAUGAUAGAAAGGUUGUACA
rnacentral:lncRNA from 1 species